GUGCUUUAGAACAUUCAGGACGAGUCAAAAAGAAAAAAGAAAAAGAAGGUUCUUGUUCAUUCACUUCUUCACAGAACAAACUCACAAUUCAGAAUAUCUUUCUCAUUUUUUUUUGAAUUCUUAAAAGAAAUAAGAGGCAUGGCUUCUUAUUCUUUAUCCUCAAGAAACAAAGGCUAUGUUCACCCCUUACUUAUCCUUCAUCUUCACCAAAAAAAAUCGAAGAAGGAAAAAACAAAAGGUUAAUAACCGGAUCUAAAAUGCAAUUUCAGCGCAUCUGGUUCCAAAUAAGAAGACUGAAAAUUCUAUUUCUAUGGGCUCCAAAAAUUUCGAUCUACAUCCGAUUAUGAAUAAUUUCUAAUAGAUAAUCAAAAAUAAAAUCAAUAACGGGUUGCAUCGGUCCAUAUGGGCGACCCAUGACCUGUUAUCCAACAUGAUAAUAAAUGGUAAGUAUAUACCCAUAUUUUGGGUAUCCGUAUAUUUCUACCGUUAAUAAAAUGAUACGUAUAUGCCCCUCACACUAACGGUAGGGCAUAUGUGUACCUGGUCAAAGUAUAGGGCAUAUGUGUACCUGGUCAAAGUAUGACGGAGGAUAUAUACAUACCAUUUAUCAUAGUUCGAGAGUAUAUUUGUCCCUUUUUCGUUGUUAAGUUGAUCUUGUGUUCAACUCUAUGUAUUCAUCCUACUAUGAUUCUAUGUGCUUUCACAACUUGUUUGGAUGGUUGUUAACCUAUUGUAUUUUAUUUUGGAGAAAAUUGCUAAAAAUCUUCCAAUUUAUUCCCAUUA